AUCCAAAAGAUCGGCAACGGAUAUCUCGGCUCUUGCAUCGAUGAAGAACGUAGCGAAAUGCGAUACUUGGUGUGAAUUGCAGAAUCCCGUGAACCAUCGAGUCUUUGAACGCAAGUUGCGCCCGAAGCCUUUAGGCCGAGGGCACGCCUGCCUGGGUGUCGCACAUCGUUGCCCCC
rnacentral:rRNA from 1 species